AUGCGUGCAGUGCACUGCUGUGGUUCCCUUUGUAAAAAUAAUAACAAAAACAUAGCAAAAGAAGUUUGUUUCAUUUUAGAUGUAGUUCAUGUGGUUCACUACCUUUCACCAUGUGGUCCACAUAAGUCUACAAAAAGGAGUAAGAAAAAAACACAAAAAAGUCAUGUGAUUCAAUUUGGCCAUUUGAAAGUGCACUCAGUAAGAAAGAGAAGACACCAUUUGCAGUGCAUUUUUUUUGCUAAUUUUACAAGGACGAGAAAUUGUAACCGAAUUCAAUAUCAUGCAACUCUUGACCCUAUGAGUAAUGAGGUCCACUUUGAAGUGUGUUGA
rnacentral:rRNA from 1 species